UUUCUACUCCCUCCGUCCGAAAAUACUUGUCAUCAAAAUGGAUAAAAAUAGAUGUAUCUAAAACUAAAAUAUGUCUAGAUACAUUUCCUUUUAUCCAUUUUGAUGACAAGUAUUUCCAGACGGAGGGAGUAUUUG
rnacentral:pre_miRNA from 1 species